ACUAAAACUAAAGUCUAAAAGUCUAAACUCAAUAGUGAACAGAAGACUGAAAAAAAAACCUAACCUUCAACUUCAAAUCCCUAAUUAAAAACUCCCCAAAUCUCUGCCAGGCCAGCCACCUUUCGUCCAGGCACUCUGGCGUCUACCAGGUCACCAUCCAUCACCGGCGAGUUGAGAAUGUCAACCGAACCAAUAUCUAUUGAGGGUAGUGUUACACCUCCUACUUCGAUAGAUUCUGAAAAUUCGGGAGUUGGAGCUUCAAACCAAACAAAGAGGACUACCGGGAAAAGAAAAGCCACUCCUCAAAGAGAUAUGCUAGCUAUCUCGGUUUAUACGGUUGCUUUAGAGUCUACAUUUAGCAUCGGGGGACGUGUGCUUGAUCAAUAUAGGAGUUCUUUAACUCCUAAAAUUGUACAAGCUCUUAUGUGCACUCAAGAUUGGAUUCGAAAAUCAUCAUCACAAGAAGACAUCAAAAAGAUUGAAGAACAAAUCCAAGAGCCUGACAAGAUUGAAAAUGACUUUUCUUGGAAUGCAUCAGAGCCUACCCUAAAUUCAUGAGCUUUCGUGAGUUCAAGGGUUUAAUACAAAUGGAGAUCUUUUGGAGAGAAGAAAUGGAUACAAAUGGAGAAUAUUAAAGACUUACAUUUCAAUUAUGUGUUAAUUUCAAGACUUAUGUAAUAUUUUUAAUUAUGUAGUGAUUCAAUUCGGUUAAUUUGGUUAA